UUGAUAGCAUUAUAUUGGGCCGAAUUCCUGUCGCGCACGAGGUUACGCCAGGCAAUCACAGCGCUCCGUCCAUAGAGUGUUUUAGAGCAACAGCUUUUUCUUCGCUUUCGAGAGCCUUAAUCUCAGCUGGCAUCUCUGCGCGUUCAAGGUUAUCGCCGACAUCAAGACCUUCGUAUCCUAAGAGUCAUCCAAACAAUGGUCGCUCAGGGGCGCGAUUUGGAUCGAUUGCCAGUCAGUUAUUCUCAAGAUCUGCCGGUUCUCCGGGUCGACAAAUAUACUCUCGUGAUGCUAUUGUAAGCGAUGGGUCAUCUGGAAGCUUGCUUCUAGAAUCUACAUGUAGUACUGUAGCGCCUCGAAUUUUCUCUAUUUUUUUUUCUUUUUGUAUAGUAGAUUGAUCUAGUGGUUCCGGGUCAUCGAGCAUGGCCAGCUGCUUUGGUAUAUGCUGGAACU
rnacentral:sRNA from 2 species